rnacentral:misc_RNA from 1 species
GAUGAAGAAUGCAGCAAAAUGCGAUACUUGGUGUGAAUUGCAGAAUCCCGUGAACCAUCGAGUUUUUGAACGCAAGUUGCGCCCGAAGCCUUUUGGCCGAGGGCACGUCUGCCUAGGCGUCACGCAUCGCGUCGCCCCCCACAAUUCUCCGUAAAGGGAACGUGUGUUUUGGGGGCGGAUAUUGGUCUCCCGUGCUCAUGGCGUGGUUGGCCGAAAUAGGAGUCCUUUCGAUGGACGCACGAACUAGUGGUGGUCGUAAAAACCCUCGUCUUUUGUUUCGUGCUGUUGCUCGCAAGGUAAACUCUUUAAAAACCCCAAUGUGUCGUCUCUUGACGACGCUUCGACCGCGACCCCAGGUCAGGCGGGACUACCCGCUGAGUUUAAGCAUAUCAAUAAGCGGAGGA